rnacentral:lncRNA from 1 species
AACAAAGCAAUAAUGGUGCAAUCAUAUAUGUGUCCACCUCACUUUGUUAUUUCACCUUCCAAUGAGUUUCUUACUUUUACUCUCAUCUUCCAUCCCUCAAUCACCCAACUUUAAUCUCCUAUUUUCAAAGAGCCGUACAGGUUUUCAACAAAAUUAUUGAAUAAUUGUACAAUUAGUAGUGCACUUGAGUAAGGGCUCCAAAUGCAUCACUGGUUAGUAACCAUCCA